CCUACGGGUGGCAGCAGUGGGGAAUAUUGCACAAUGGGGGAAACCCUGAUGCAGCAACGCCGCGUGAAGGAAGACGGCUUUCUGAUUGUUAACUUUUGUUUUUAGUGAAGAAAAAUGUCGGUAGCUAAGGAGCAAGCCACGGCUAACUACGUGCCAGCAGCCGCGGUAAUACGGAGGUGGCAAGCGUUUUCCGGAAUGACUGGGUUUAAAGGGAGCGCAGGCGGGAAGCCAAGUCAGCUGUGAAAACUACGGGCUUAACUUGUAGACUGCAGUUGAAACGGGUUGUCUUGAGUGAAGUAGAGGUUGGCGGAAUGCGGGGUGUAGCGGUGAAAUGCGUAGAUAUUCCGAAGAACUCCGGUGGCGAAGGCAGCCAACUGGGCUUUAACUGACGCUGAGGCUCGAAAGUGUGGGGAGCAAACAGGAUUAGAUACCCGUGUAGUC
rnacentral:rRNA from 1 species